CCUUCCAUUAGUGGACUCACGGCCCAAAUCACAUACCCAAACGGCCGAACCUGCUUGAGCUCCCUUCUUCUUCUUCUUCAUCUUCUUCAUCAUCUUCAGUUUGAGUUUCAACAGAAAAACAAAUACAUCGUGCGACUAGUUUUUGAUUUUAAGUUCGUAUCACUACCACUGUUUACUGUGCCCAUCUGUUUUGUGAAAGCACUAUCUUUCGAGAGAUAGAGGGGAAAUCUUUCGCCACUGUCUGACCGUCUGAAUCGCCACCGGCUAUCAUGGAGGUGGACGAGGAAACCCCGGCAUCAACUUCUCCUACAGAGGCAUCUGAUUUGGGUCCUGAUAGUCAAACAUUGGUUUCCAGUGUUCAUGCUACUCCACUUCAGCCAAUCCAACCUUUAGUUCCACCAGUUGUUGUGCCUCCUACUGCUCCUAUUGUUCCUCCUAUUGCUCCAAUUCCUUCAAUUCUUCCUCCCCCGGUUAUUCGCCCAUUGGCACCUCUCCCAGUCCGCCCUCCUGUUUUAAGGCCUCCCAUUUUGCAAAAUGGUGAGGUGAGAGAGAGUGACUCGGAUUCAGACAAUGAAGAUUCGGGUCCAACCCGUACUGCUCCAGGUACAACUGGGGAAUAUGAGAUAUCUGAGGAGAGCAGACUGGUGAGAGAGCGGCAGGAAAAAGCAAUACAGGAGCUCAUGAUGAAGCGUCGUGCUAAAGCUCUUGCUGUGCCUACUAAUGACAUGGCUGUCCGGACUCGUCUUCGCAAGCUUGGUGAACCUAUGACUCUUUUUGGAGAAAGAGAGAUGGAAAGACGUGAGAGGCUGCGGAUGAUUAUGGCAAAACUGGAUGCUGAAGGGCAGUUGGAGAAACUGAUGAAAGCUCAUGAGGAGGAAGAGGCUGCAGCUGCUGCUGCAAAAGCAGAUGUUGAGGAAGAAAUUAUUCAAUAUCCCUUUUAUACAGAAGGGACGAAGACUCUUAAGGAUGCUAGAGUUGAUAUUGCAAGGUACUCUCUUGUGCAGGCAGCUUUGCGUAUUAGACGUGAGCAGAGGAAAAGGGAUGAUCCAGAUGAAGAUAUGGAUGCAGAGUUGGAUUGGGCUCUGGGGCAGGCAGCGAAUUUGGUGCUUGAUUGCAGUGAGAUUGGGGAUGACCGGCCACUAUCUGGUUGUUCUUUCUCACGAGAUGGAGAAAAGCUGGCUACCUGUUCUUUAAGUGGCGUUACUAAGUUGUGGAAAAUGCCUAAUGUUGAAAAGGAAUCUACACUGAAGGGACACACAGAGCGUGCUACUGAUGUCGCAUUUUCUCCUGUGCAUGACCAUCUAGCUACUGCCUCUGCUGACCGUACUGCAAGGUUGUGGGACACUAGAGGAUCUUUGUUGAGGACAUUUGAGGGCCAUCUGGACCGCCUUGCACGCAUUUCCUUCCAUCCUUCAGGGAAGUACUUGGGCACUACUAGCUUUGACAAGACUUGGAGAUUAUGGGAUGUAGAAAAUGGGGAGGAGUUGCUUCUUCAGGAAGGUCACAGUAGGAGUGUCUAUGGGCUAGACUUCCACCGUGAUGGAUCACUAGCUGCAUCUUGUGGACUGGAUGCACUUGCUCGUGUUUGGGACCUUCGAACUGGCAGAAGUAUUCUUGCCUUGGAGGGCCAUGUCAAGCCAGUUUUGGGAAUCAGCUUCUCUCCCAAUGGAUAUCAUUUAGCCACCGGGGGUGAAGACAAUACCUGUCGAGUCUGGGAUCUAAGAAAGAGAAAAACUUUGUAUACGAUACCAGCACAUUCUAACCUCAUUUCAGAAGUAAAGUUUGAGCCUCAGGAAGGAUAUUUCUUGGUAACUGCUUCCUAUGACAUGACAGCUAAGAUUUGGUCUGCCCGAGAUUUUAAGCCUGUGAAGACACUUGCUGGACAUGAAGCAAAAGUCACGUCCUUAGAUGUUGCAGGAGAUGGGCGUUAUAUAGCAACUGUAUCACACGAUCGGAAAAUUAAGCUUUGGUCCAGCAGUAGCAAGGAGAAGGCUAUGGAUGUGGACUAGGUUGCUAAAUGCUGGAGAUGAUAAAAUAUUGGUGGAUCCUAUUUCCUGGAUUUUUUUGGUCUAGAAACCCUUUAGGGAUGUGUGGAUAACAAAGCACAGGUUGCUUCAGGUUCAAAAUGUCUAUUGUGGAGUUACACUUCUAACUAUGAGAGAUAUGGUUUAUGGGGAGAAGAAUAGCAGAGAAGAUGCCACUGGCACAAGAAUUAGUCAAGAACUACCAGACUCUCAGUAUCUGAUAGAUGCAGUCUGAUUUGAUCAGCACUAGAUUAUUCAGGAAUAAGAAUAACCUAGAGAGUACAAAGAGCAAAAAAUUUCAACUUGACUCGAACCCAAUUCUGGAACACUUAUUCUAGGCCUUGUCAACAGGCCUUUUUUAUUUUUUUUGAAUUUUGAAAGAUAGUUACAAUAUGUUACUAAUUGCACAGCUCGAAUUCUUUUUCCUUAGACUUUCAAACACUUUGUGCAUGGGGAGAUGUCAAUUUAGCUACAAGUCCCUUGGUAACAGAUCUAGAGUUUCCUUGGUUUUUUUUU